rnacentral:lncRNA from 1 species
CUCGCAGUUGGAUCCGCCGGGCUAAAAUUCCGGGGUGGGCGCGCUGCACCCUGGGACAUGUGGUUCUCCGAGGGGCACGGGCGGUUCCUGCGAUCUGGCUUUACCUGGCGUCUUGCACCAGCCCUCCCUUUGUGGGUUGCAUAGUUCCCAGGAACCUGUCAGCUCUUUAGCCUUUUUCCUGCAAAUACAUUUCCGUGAGUGCCGGCUAGAUGAGGCUCACAUGGCCUCAGGUCAGUGCUGCACGCCUUAAGGAAUAGUAGUCCCUAAAUGCAUACUCUUUUGGAGUUGUCCUCUGCCCUCACCGAGAUUGCAAAACAUUAAAGGCAAAAAUGAAUCGAGCCUUUGACGGCAGUGUGCUGAGAGUUUUCCUUGUAAUCGCUCAUGUACUCUUGGCAACUUUAAUUGCAGCUGAGCUGCCUUUCUGGAAAGUUUCUUCCUUGAUUUCUAUCACCUUGCAUCAUCUGCUUUCCUCUCAGACGGACCAUUCAGGUAAACAAGCCCUUCCAUGGAGUGAAUGGAAAGAUAAUGCUUCUCUUUACUUCAGUGUCCCUCCUUCUGCCUGAAAAAGCAAUUAUUCUGGAAGCAUGUCCGUGUCAAUUGGAUUACGUUACCUGGGAGGUGGGCUAAAAACAUCAUCUGGCUAAAAUGUUUGCAGAAAUACCAUCAACCCGCUGCCAUUGUGGAUCGUUAGCUUGAGAUCAACCCAAUGACUUUCCACUUGCAAUCCUUUUAUGUUUAUAAAGAUUCCAUAAACACCGUAUUGUGUCAUUUUAAUACUAACAAUUCAACCUCCCCCCCCCAAAAGUAGUAAAAGCCUUUUUUUCCUAAGUUAAAAUUACAAAGUCCCUAUGUCUUUGAAGGAGAUAGUCUCAUAUAGUAUAAAGAUGGUAAAAAAUAAAAGUCUUGAUCAUAGUUCGCA